GACGAACGCUGGCGGCGUGCUUAACACAUGCAAGUCGAGCGGUAAGGCCCUUUCGGGGUACGACGAGCGGCGAACGGGUGAGUAACACGUGGGUGGACCUGCCCUCAGCUCUGGGAGUAAGCCUGGGAAACCGGGGUCUAAUACCGGAUAUGACUCCAUGACGCAUGUUGUGGGGUGGAAAGCCUUGUGCGGCUGAGGAUGGGCCCGCGGCCUAUCAGCUUGUUGGGUGGGG
rnacentral:rRNA from 1 species